AUUCUCUUAUAGGUAGAACCUACUUUUUCUUUAACAAUCAAAAACCAAUUCUCAUAAUUAUUACCGAAAAAAGCUUUUAUUUAGUGGGACUUUCGAUUUUUUAUUUUUUUAUAAAAUUAAAAAUAUUUUACCACUAAUUACAUGUUGUAUCCGCAGCCACUCUGUCUCGAAAAGUACACCCCAAGUGCAUGUAAAAACACAAAAGACUUGAUUAGAUGAAGCUAACGAUGAAGGCCCCAGAAGGGAAAAUUUUAUGCUAGAAUUGUUGGGCUUUACCCAGAAGGGAGCCCAUCCAUAAAUUCUCGACGGCCCUGGGUGAACCAGGGCCGAAGAGGGGGUUUGGAAAUAGUUUUCAACCAGCAAUAGACGCGCCUCGGUUAGAACCUCACUAGCUGCGUCAUUGCCCCA
rnacentral:lncRNA from 1 species